rnacentral:rRNA from 1 species
AACUGUGCUGAGUGGCGGACGGGUGAGUAACGCGUGGGUACCUGCCCUGUACAGGGGGAUAACAAUCAGAAAUGACUGCUAAUACCGCAUAAGACCGCAUGGUAAAAACUCCGGUGGUACAGGAUGGACCCGCGUCUGAUUAGCUGGUUGGUGAGGUAACGGCUCACCAAGGCGACGAUCAGUAGCCGGCUUGAGAGAGUGAACGGCCACAUUGGGACUGAGACACGGCCCAAACUCCUACGGGAGGCAGCAGUGGGGAAUAUUGCACAAUGGGGGGAACCCCGAUGCAGCGACGCCGCGUGAGGAAGAAGUAUCUCGGUAUGUAAACUCUAUCAGCAGGGAAGAAAAUGACGGUACCUGACUAAGAAGCCCCGGCUAACUACGUGCCAGCAGCCGCGGUAAUACGUAGGGGGCAAGCGUUAUCCGGAAUUACUGGGUGUAAAGGGCGCGUAGGUGGUAUGGCAAGUCAGAAGUGAAAACCCAGGGCUUAACUUGGGACUGCUUUUGAAACUGUCAGACUGGAGUGCAGGAGAGGUAAGCGGAAUUCCUAGUGUAGCGGUGAAAUGCGUAGAUAUUAGGAGGAACAUCAGUGGCGAAGGCGGCUUACUG